GUAGGUGAACCUGCGGAAGGAUCAUUACAAAUCGGUUUGGUUUGGUGGGGUGGGUGGAGGGGAGUGAGUGAGCGUGUUGAGUGGAUGAGAAAUCAUGUCACAUAACCCGCCCGCCACACCCAUCGGCCCCACCGCACCUUCCAACAUAUGCACAAGGUCGAAGGAUCUUGAUGUUUACGCUUGUUUGUUUGACAAAUUCAUUUUACAAUACUAAAAUAUACAACUUUUAACAAUGGAUCUCUUGGCUCUU
rnacentral:misc_RNA from 1 species